CCGUGCUAGACGGGGAGCCAGCGGUGCCCUGUAGCCCACAAUCCGCUACAGUGGGGUCGAACUCCCUGCCGAGGCUGUUCUUUUUCCGGUUCGUACCGGGACGGGAAGCGAUGAUGGUUAGGGCCCUGGGCGAGGAGCCGCCUGCCAAACCCGUCAGGACCGGAAGGGAGCAGCGGUAACAGGAAGGUUUCCUGGGUUUCAGGCCGCCUUGCCGGAGCCGAAGGUCCUGGCAACACGGGGAAAGCGCAGUCGGAGCAGGGUGCACGG
rnacentral:SRP_RNA from 1 species